CCUACGGGCGGCAGCAGUGAGGAAUAUUGGUCAAUGGACGAGAGUCUGAACCAGCCAAGUAGCGUGAAGGAUGACUGCCCUAUGGGUUGUAAACUUCUUUUAUAUGGGAAUAAAAUGUUCCACGUGUGGGCUUUUGUAUGUACCAUCUGAAUAAGGAUCGGCUAACUCCGUGCCAGCAGCCGCGGUAAUACGGAGGAUCCGAGCGUUAUCCGGAUUUAUUGGGUUUAAAGGGAGCGUAGGUGGAUUGUUAAGUCAGUUGUGAAAGUUUGCGGCUCAACCGUAAAAUUGCAGUUGAAACUAGCAGUCUUGAGUACAGUAGAGGUGGGCGGAAUUCGUGGUGUAGCGGUGAAAUGCUUAGAGAUCACGAAGAACUCCGAAUGCGAAGGCAGCUCACUGGACUGCAACUGACACUGAGGCGCGAAAGUGUGGGUAUCAAACAGGAUUAGAUACCCUUGUAGUC
rnacentral:rRNA from 1 species